UGGAUUGUGGCUCAGUGGUAGAGUGCUUGUCUAUCACAUGUGAAGCCCAGGGUUUGAUUCUCUGCACUAUAU
rnacentral:tRNA from 2 species